rnacentral:rRNA from 1 species
GAAAAGAAACCAACAGGGAUUGCCCUAGUAACGGCGAGUGAAGCGGCAACAGCUCAAAUUUGAAAUCUGGCCUCGGCCCGAGUUGUAAUUUGCAGAGGAUGCUUCUGGCGCGGUGCCUUCCGAGUUCCCUGGAACGGGACGCCACAGAGGGUGAGAGCCCCGUAUGGUCGGACACCAAGCCUGUGUGAAGCUCCUUCGACGAGUCGAGUAGUUUGGGAAUGCUGCUCUAAAUGGGAGGUAAAUCUCUUCUAAAGCUAAAUACCGGCCAGAGACCGAUAGCGCACAAGUAGAGUGAUCGAAAGAUGAAAAGCACCUUGAAAAGGGGGUUAAAUAGUACGUGAAAUUGUUGAAAGGGAAGCGCUUGUGACCAGACUUGCGCCGGGCGGCUCAUCAGGGGUUCUCCCCUGUGCACUCCGCCCGGCUCAGGCCAGCAUCGGUUCUCGCGGGGGGACAAGACCGCCGGGAACGUAGCACCCCCCGGGGUGUGUUAUAGCCCGGCGGACGAUACCCUCGCGGGGACCGAGGUUCGCGCUCCGCAAGGAUGCUGGCGUAAUGGUCACCAGCGACCCGUCUUGAAACACGGACCAAGGAGUCGUCCAUUAGAGCGAGCGUUUGGGUGUAAAACCCGCACGCGUAAUGAAAGUGAACGCAGGUGAGAGCUUCGGCGCAUCAUCGACCGAUCCUGAUGUUCUCGGAAGGAUUUGAGUAAGAGUUUUAACGGACGGACCCGAAAGACAGUGAACUAUGCUUGUAUAGGGUGAAGCCAGAGGAAACUCUGGUGGAGGCUCGCAGCGGUUCUGACGUGCAAAUCGAUCGUCAAAUAUGAGCAUGGGGGCGAAAGACUAAUCGAACUGUCUAGUAGCUGGUUACCGCCGAAGUUUCCCUCAGGAUAGCAGUGUUGAUCUUCAGUUUUAUGAGGUAAAGCGAAUGAUUAGGGACUCGGGGGCUAUAUAUUGCCUUCAUCCAUUCUCAAACUUUAAAUAUGUAAGAAGCCCUUGUUACUUAGUUGAACGUGGGCAUUCGAAUGUACCAACACUAGUGGGCCAUUUUUGGUAAGCAGAACUGGCGAUGCGGGAUGAACCGAACGCGGGGUUAAGGCGCCAGAGUGUACGCUCAUCAGACACCACAAAAGGCGUUAGUACAUCUUGACAGCAGGACGGUGGCCAUGGAAGUCGGAAUCCGCUAAGGACUGUGUAACAACUCACCUGCCGAAUGUACUAGCCCUGAAAAUGGAUGGCGCUCAAGCGUACCGCCCAUACCCCGCCCUCAGGGUAGAAACGAUGCCCUGAGGAGUAGGCGGCCGUGGGGGUCUGUGACGAAGCCUAGGGCGUGAGCCCGGGUCG